rnacentral:rRNA from 1 species
UACGUAUGGUGCAGGCGUUAUCCGGAUUUACUGGGCGUAAAGGGAGCGCAGGCGGCGCGCCAAGUCUGAUGUGAAACCCCGGGGCUCAGCCCCGGGCAUGCAUUGGAAACUGGCGGGCUGGAGUGCCGGAGAGGUAAGCGGAAUUCCUAGUGUAGCGGUGAAAUGCGUAGAUAUUAGGAGGAACACCAGUGGCGAAGGCAUCUCACGAAUCCGCUAUUGACGCUGAUGCACGAAAGCGUGGGUAUCAAACAGG